GGUCAAGUUAUUAAGGGUGCAGGGCGGAUGCCUUGGCACUAGGAGCCGAUGAAGGACGUGAUAAGCUGCGAUAAGCUUCGGGGAGUUGCACGUAAACUUUGAUCCGAAGAUUUCCGAAUGAGGAAACUCACUUAGAGUAAUGUCUAAGUAUCAUUAAGUGAAUACAUAGCUUAAUGAGGGGAACUCAGGGAACUGAAACAUCUAAGUACCUGAAGGAAGAGAAAGAAAUUCGAUUCCGUAAGUAGCGGCGAGCGAACGCGGAUUAGCCCAAACCAAUAAAGUUUUCUUUAUUGGGGUUGCGGACAUAUCAUAACGAAGAGGUAUCGUAAUUGAAGAGGUUUGGAAAGACCCACCACAGAAGGUAAUAGUCCUGUAUGUUAAACGAGAAGACUUUAGAUAUGAUCCAGAGUACCACGGGACACGUGAAACCCUGUGGGAAGCAGGAGGGACCACCCUCCAAGGCUAAAUACUACCUAGUGACCGAUAGCGUAUAGUACCGUGAGGGAAAGGUGAAAAGAACCCCGGGAGGGGAGUGAAAUAGAACCUGAAACCCUGCACUUACAAGCUGUGGAAGCACAUUUCUUGUGUGACCGCGUACUUUUUGUAGAACGGGCCAACGAGUUACGUUAAGUAGCAAGGUUAAGCACUUAAGGUGCGGAGCCGUAGCGAAAGCGAGUUUUAACUGAGCGUUCAGUUACUUGACGUAGACCCGAAACCGGGCGACCUACCCAUGAGCAGGAUGAAGCGAAAGUAAAAUUUCGUGGAGGUCCGAACCCACGAGCGUUGAAAAGCUCGGGGAUGACUUGUGGGUAGCGGUGAAAUUCCAAUCGAGCCCGGAGAUAGCUGGUUCUCCCCGAAAUAGCUUUAGGGCUAGCCUCAAGGUGAGAGAUACGGAGGUAGAGCACUGAAUGUCCUAGGGGGUAUUGCACCUACCGAAGACUAUCAAACUCCGAAUGCCGUCAUCUUAUACUUGGGAGUCAGACUGUGGGUGAUAAGAUUCAUAGUCGAAAGGGCAACAGCCCAGAUCGUCAGCUAAGGUCCCUAAAUGUAAGUUAAGUGGUAAAGGAUGUGGGAUUGCACAGACAACCAGGAUGUUGGCUUAGAAGCAGCCACUCAUUCAAAGAGUGCGUAAUAGCUCACUGGUCGAGUGAUCCUGCGCCGAAGAUUUCCGGGGCUAAAACUUACUACCGAAGCUACGGCAUCAGUAAUGAUGGGUAGGGGAGCUUCCCAUACGGGUUGAAGCAUGACCGUAAGGACAUGUGGACAGUAUGGGAGUGAGAAUGUUGGCAUGAGUAGCGAGAUGUGGGUGAGAAUCCCACAGGCCGUAAACCCAAGGUUUCCAGGGGAAGGUUCGUCCGCCCUGGGUUAGUCGGGACCUAAGCUGAGGCCGAAAGGCGUAGGUGAUGGACAACAGGUUGAUAUUCCUGUACUACCGAUAACCGUUUGAGAGAAGGGAUGACACAGUAGGAUAAGCUAAGCACACUGUUGGUUAUGUGUGCCCAAGCAUUGAGGCAGUCAAAGUAGGCAAAUCCGCUUUGAUAAUGCUGGGAUGUGAUGGGGAGCGAAAUUUAGUAGCGAAGUAGCUGAUUUCACACUGUCAAGAAAAGUCUCUAUCGAGGUUAAAGGUACCCGUACCGCAAACCGACACAGGUGGGUGAGGAGAGUAUCCUAAGGCCAGCGAGAGAACUGUUGUUAAGGAACUCGGCAAAAUGACCCCGUAACUUAGGGAUAAGGGGUGCCACCAUCAGGUGGCCGCAGAGAAUAGGCCCAAGCGACUGUUUACCAAAAACAUAGGUUUCUGCUAAGUCGCAAGACGAUGUAUAGGAGCUGACGCCUGCCCGGUGCUGGAAGGUUAAGGGGAUCUGUUAGAGCAAUCGAAGCAGUGAACUUAAGCCCCAGUAAACGGCGGCCGUAACUAUAACGGUCCUAAGGUAGCGAAAUUCCUUGUCGGGUAAGUUCCGACCCGCACGAAAGGCGUAACGAUUUGGGCACUGUCUCAACAACAGACUCGGUGAAAUUGUAAUUCCGGUGAAGAUGCCGGAUACCUGCGACAGGACGGAAAGACCCCAUGGAGCUUUACUGUAGCUUGACAUUGGGUCUUGGUACUACAUGUACAGGAUAGGUGGGAGGCUUUGAAACCAGGACGCCAGUUUUGGCGGAGCCAUCCUUGGGAUACCACCCUUGUAGUACUGGGACUCUAACCAUAGGCCAUGAAUCUGGUCUUGGGACACUGUCAGGUGGGCAGUUUGACUGGGGCGGUCGCCUCCCAAAAGGUAACGGAGGCGCUCAAAGGUUCUCUCAGUACGGUCGGAAAUCGUACGUAGAGUGUAAAGGCAAAAGAGAGCUUGAUUGCAAGACAUACAGGUCGAGCAAGGAUGAAAAUCGGACUUAGUGAUCCGGUGGUUCUGCGUGGAAGGGCCAUCGCUCAACGGAUAAAAGCUACCCUGGGGAUAACAGGCUUAUCUCCCCCAAGAGUCCACAUCGACGGGGAGGUUUGGCACCUCGAUGUCGGCUCAUCACAUCCUGGGGCUGUAGUAGGUCCCAAGGGUUGGGCUGUUCGCCCAUUAAAGUGGUACGCGAGCUGGGUUCAGAACGUCGUGAGACAGUUCGGUCCCUAUCCGUCGCAGGCGUAGGAAAUUUGAGAAGACCUGUCCUUAGUACGAGAGGACCGGGAUGGACGUACCUCUGGUGUACCAGUUGUCCUGCCAAGGGCAUGGCUGGGUAGCUAUGUACGGAAUGGAUAAGCGCUGAAAGCAUCUAAGCGCGAAGCCAACUUCAAGAUAAGAUUUCCCACCG
rnacentral:rRNA from 1 species